rnacentral:rRNA from 1 species
AGAUUGAGAGUUUGAUCCUGGCUCAGGAUGAACGCUAGCGGGAGGCUUAACACAUGCAAGUCGAGCGGGAUUUACCUUCGGGUAAUGAGAGCGGCGAACGGGUGAGUAACGCGUAUGCAACCUACCUUUUACAGAGGAAUAGCCCAGAGAAAUUUGGAUUAAUACCUUAUAGUACAUAUUUACCGCAUGGCAAAUUAGUUAAAGCUUCGGUGGUAAAAGAUGGGCAUGCGUGACAUUAGAUUGUUGGUGAGGUAACGGCUCACCAAGUCAGCGAUGUCUAGGGGUUCUGAGAGGAUGAUCCCCCACACUGGUACUGAGACACGGACCAGACUCCUACGGGAGGCAGCAGUGAGGAAUAUUGGUCAAUGGGCGAAAGCCUGAACCAGCCAUCCCGCGUGAAGGAAGACUGCCCUAUGGGUUGUAAACUUCUUUUAUGUACCAAGAAUGGCUUCUACGUGUAGUAGUUUGACGGUAGUACAGGAAUAAGCAUCGGCUAACUCCGUGCCAGCAGCCGCGGUAAUACGGAGGAUGCGAGCGUUAUCCGGAUUCAUUGGGUUUAAAGGGUGCGUAGGCGGCUUAUUAAGUCAGUGGUGAAAUCCUGCGGCUCAACCGUAGAACUGCCAUUGAUACUGAUAAGCUUGAAUAUAGUUGAGGUAGGCGGAAUGAGUAGUGUAGCGGUGAAAUGCUUAGAUAUUACUCAGAACACCAAUUGCGAAGGCAGCUUACUAAACUGUAAUUGACGCUGAUGCACGAAAGCGUGGGUAGCGAACAGGAUUAGAUACCCUGGUAGUCCACGCCGUAAACGAUGUUCACUCGCUGUAUGCAAUACACCGUAUGCGGCCAAGCGAAAGUAUUAAGUGAACCACCUGGGGAGUACGUCGGCAACGGUGAAACUCAAAGGAAUUGACGGGGGCCCGCACAAGCGGAGGAACAUGUGGUUUAAUUCGAUGAUACGCGAGGAACCUUACCUGGGCUUAAAUGUAGAUUGCAUGACGUGGAAACACGCUUCCCUUCGGGGCUAUUUACAAGGUGCUGCAUGGUUGUCGUCAGCUCGUGCCGUGAGGUGUCGGGUUAAGUCCCAUAACGAGCGCAACCCCUAUCGUUAGUUGCCAUCAGGUCAUGCUGGGGACUCUAGCGAGACUGCCACCGUAAGGUGAGAGGAAGGUGGGGAUGACGUCAAAUCAGCACGGCCCUUAUGUCCAGGGCUACACACGUGUUACAAUGGCAGGUACAAAGGGCAGCUACACCGCGAGGUGAUGCUAAUCUCUAAAGCCGGUCUCAGUUCGGAUCGAAGUCUGCAACUCGACUUCGUGAAGUUGGAUUCGCUAGUAAUCGGAUAUCAGCCAUGAUCCGGUGAAUACGUUCCCGGGCCUUGUACACACCGCCCGUCAAACCAUGGAAGCUGGGGGGACCUGAAGUCUGUCACCGAAAGGAGCGGCCUAGGGUAAAACCGGUAACUAGGGUUAAGUCGUAACAAGGUAGCCGUAG